GUGCCCUAGGUCCGUCGCCGGUGCUCUGCAUUCGGAUCACCGCUUCAUGUGAGUAGAUCUAGCCCUAGCCUAGACCUUUCCUCUUCAUCGCCGGCUUGGAUCUAUUAUCUUGGGUUCUAGCUUCGAUUUCACACACGGUUGUGUUGUGGGGUUGGUGGACAGCAGCUCGAACCGGGCAGAGGUGAGGUUCUGUUCUUCUCUUGCUGUGGUGUUUUUGGUUUCGGCAGGCACCUCAUCCAGUAGGUGUGCUGGUUCUAGCAUCAACAGCAUUUGAGAUCAAGGAUUCUGAUUCGAGACAGGCGUCUCGACGUUGAUUUCGGAUUUGGGAUUGUACCUUCUAUUUGAGGCGGGUACCCUUUGACUUAUCUUGUUGAUAUUUUCUUGUGAUAUGUGCAGUUUAUAUAUGUUUACUAGUAAUUGGUAGAUCUUUCUCUUCUCUGGUUAUAGUAUUCUAUACCUGUAGGCGAUUAUUAGCGAUUGGUAGUUAGCAUAUUCCCUGGUUUAGUUAUUUGAUACUUGAUACAUGUUGCUACGAUUAGCAUCUAUACCUUAGUCUAGCAUGUUUUUCUUUCUUGCUAUACUUAUCUGUGUUCAUAGAGAUGCAUAUCUAUAGUGCUCUACUCUACUGGAUUAGUUGCUUUACAUGUGUGAUACAUGCUCUUGGAUUCAUGAUACUUACAUCAUUGUUAUAUGUGAUGUCUUUGG